UUCGCUACAAAAAUUUAGAUUUACGAAUAAGUUUAGAGACGUUUUGAGAAAACUCCAAGAAGCGGAGGGCUCGCGGAUAACUGUUUUUUGGUUUUUUUCUAAGCUGCGUUUGGAACGCGCGCGACGUCGUCAGUUGCCGAAGGAUAGCACCUAACUAAAUUGGCCAAGGAAAAGGUGCAUCAUUAAGUAGUCCUAGACAGGCAGUUGCAGCUGGAUCUAAGCAUCAUGUUAGGUAGCGGGAAAAUUUCCCGACCGCUUGCCUGCCUUCUUAUGCCGAUCCACAAGGACCGACCCCGACCCUUGAUCCUUUAAGUAGGCCCGUCCCGAAUCCGAGAAAAGCAAUGCAACCCGAGAAAGGCAGCUGUGCGGCGCGAGCAGCAGCAGGUCAGAUUUGUGUGUAUCUUUUGUAUCUCUAAGAGUCUGCGAUGCAUUCAUCCCAUUGUCAAGUUAUUUGGAAACCCGGAAUUUCACCAUUAGCCACGCAUUUUCUAAUUUAUGAGCAAAAAUGGCGAGUUUUCGCGCGCAAUUCGGCGAACUGGCUGUGCGCUCCGUAGAUACUUUCUGUAACCCAGAUACUAGAGUCGGGAAAUUACUCCCCAAAAACAAGGGAAAACAAACUGGACUGAGAUUAGAAACCACCCUACCGCGGCCCCAGCUCAGCGCUCAACCUUAUCACGUAGUUACAAAAUUUUCCUGCUUUUACACCCACCACCUCGCAUUGCCGGCAAUGCGCAAGCGACUUUUCCGGCGGGAAGAAUGGGGUGGAAAACCCAAAGACAACGUCAUAAAAAAAACAGACGGAACUGGUUUCCAUCUCCAAGACGAGCCGCGUAGUCCCAACAAAACGACCGACUUUUAUCCCUCCACCGGGUAAGGAUUACGGAGCUGUUUCUUACACACUUUGAGGAAAACUUGACGACAAAACGAGUAUUUCCUUUGUUUUGACUUUUGGUGAUUUGAGUUAAUUUAUAAUAUGACUUAAGGUAUAGCAAAUCCAGUUUAUGAAUGGUUCUAAUUUUAAUAUAUCUCUUUAGAAGAAAAUAGCCUUAGGAUUUAGACAAAUUUGCGUAUUGAUAAAAAGGAAUACCCUUUCUAGUUUGGUUCAAGGUAAAAUUUUAAAGCAAACCAUAUUUUUAACUUCAAAACAAACUAAGAAUUUAGACCACACAAAUUUUAAAAUAAAAAAAAUCAAUUUUAAGGAUUAUCUUUAUAUUCCUUUACUUAAAGGAACCCUAAUUAUAAAACCAUUUUGACAAGGGGAUCUAACAAAACGUCAAAUAUUGGAAAUGUUUUAAUACUAUAUUAUUCAAUAUGCAAGAAAAUAGUCCGUUCGCAGAGGUUUUCAAAGAAAUCAUAACAACGAGAAUUUCCAUACUAUCGACAGUCCAAGAAAAGGAGUUCUAAACAAUGCAACGCCCUAGGAAAGGAAUGCACUUUAAGGAUAUUUUCCAACCGUGUAGAGAGCGGCAACAAAAACAAGAAUAAGAAGAACAAGAGCAGGAAAAGGACUCUGUGCAGAAGGAGGAUGGGGAGGAGGAGGAGGAGGCAUCAGCGAAACUACCCUUGUCACCCUUGAACGUUUUCCAUUGAAACGGCUCUGUCUCCGAGUAGCAGGACGUGGAAAAAACAUGACCAAGAAGUUAAAGUCCUUUUACAAACACAUAGACACACACACACAAACGCGUACAGUGGUACAUUUGUGUUCGUGCAGCAAGGAUACGACGCAAAAACAACGGGGGAUGAGGACGAGGGUUGUAUUUACACAAGUUUCUGUACAUGUCCGUAUGUAGGUGGUUUCUGCGCCGCAAAUCGUACGUAUGUAUUAUAUAUAGGUGUAUGUAUAUUUUCCAAAAACGGAAAAGUGUCGAGAGGAAUCUUUUGAGGAAUCUUAGGAGCCGGGAAAAUCAAUAUAUGCAUUUGGCAGAAAUUGGA